AGUCUUGUAUUGGAAUGAUGGGAAUCUAAACCCCUUCCAGAGUAUCAAUUGGAGGGCAAGUCUGGUGCCAGCAGCCGCGGUAAUUCCAGCUCCAAUAGCGUAUAUUAAACUUGUUGCAGUUAAAAAGCUCGUAGUUGAAUUUCUGCUGUUUCGUUGACUGCGUUUGGCGUUUGUCAUCGUUGCGGCUUGGUUGGGUUUCGAUUAUUCGUUUCCCGGCGUUUACUUUGAGAAAAUUAGAGUGCUUGAAGCAGGCUUUUGCCUUGAAUACUUUAGCAUGGAAUAACGGAGUAGGACUUUGGUUCUAUUUUGUUGGUUUUAGGAGCCAGAGUAAUGGUUAAUAGGAACAGUUGGGGGCAUUCGUAUUUGACUGUCAGAGGUGGAAUU
rnacentral:rRNA from 1 species